UUAGAGUUUGAUCCUGGCUCAGGAUGAACGCUAGCGGCAGGCUUAACACAUGCAAGUCGAACGGCAGCGGGGAUUCACUUCGGUGAAUCUGCCGGCGAGUGGCGCACGGGUGAGUAACACGUAUGCAACCUGCCUCUGUCAGGGGUAUAACUCUGCGAAAGUAGGGCUAAUACCGCGUAUAUUCCCGGAGGGCAUCCUCCGGGGAGGAAAGGUUUCAGCCGGACAGAGAUGGGCAUGCGGCGCAUUAGGCAGUUGGCGGGGUAACGGCCCACCAAACCGACGAUGCGUAGGGGUUCUGAGAGGAAGGUCCCCCACACUGGUACUGAGACACGGACCAGACUCCUACGGGAGGCAGCAGUGAGGAAUAUUGGUCAAUGGCCGGAAGGCUGAACCAGCCAAGCCGCGUGAAGGACGAAGGUGCCAAGCAUUGUAAACUUCUUUUGUCAAGGGACAAAAUCAGGCUCGAGAGCCUGACCGAGGGUACUUGAAGAAAAAGCAUCGGCUAACUCCGUGCCAGCAGCCGCGGUAAUACGGAGGAUGCGAGCGUUAUCCGGAUUUAUUGGGUUUAAAGGGUGCGUAGGCGGGCUGUUAAGUCAGCGGUAAAAGCCCGGGGCUCAACCCCGGCGAGCCGUUGAAACUGGCUGUCUUGAGAUGUCGAGAGGUAUGCGGAAUGCGCAGUGUAGCGGUGAAAUGCUUAGAUAUUGCGCAGAACUCCGAUUGCGAAGGCAGCAUACCGGCGGCGAUCUGACGCUGAGGCACGAAAGCGUGGGUAUCGAACAGGAUUAGAUACCCUGGUAGUCCACGCAGUAAACGAUGAAUACUGGCUGUGUGGCCCGACAGAGGGCUGCGUGGCGUAGCGAAAGCGUUAAGUAUUCCACCUGGGGAGUACGCCGGCAACGGUGAAACUCAAAGGAAUUGACGGGGGCCCGCACAAGCGGAGGAACAUGUGGUUUAAUUCGAAGCAACGCGAAGAACCUUACCAGGUCUUGACAUCCAGUGCAAACCUAAGAGAUUAGGUGUUCCCUUCGGGGACGCUGAGACAGGUGGUGCAUGGCUGUCGUCAGCUCGUGUCGUGAGAUGUUGGGUUAAGUCCCGCAACGAGCGCAACCCUUGUCAUUAGUUGCCAUCAUUAAGUUUGGCACUCUAAUGAGACUGCCGGUGACAAACCGGAGGAAGGUGGGGAUGACGUCAAGUCAUCAUGCCCCUUAUGACCUGGGCUACACACGUGCUACAAUGGACGGUACAACGAGAAGCGAACCUGCGAAGGCAAGCGGAUCUCUUAAAGCCGUUCUCAGUUCGGACUGUAGGCUGCAACUCGCCUACACGAAGCUGGAAUCGCUAGUAAUCGCGGAUCAGCACGCCGCGGUGAAUACGUUCCCGGGCCUUGCACACACCGCCCGUCAAG
rnacentral:rRNA from 1 species